rnacentral:misc_RNA from 1 species
UACACUUUUAAUGAAACAAGAAUUAAAAACACUCACUUACCACUUUUGAAGCUUGAUCAAAACCUCACUAAACUUCUUAAAAUUGUUAUCAAACUCUUCCUUGCAAGGUGAGGAGCAAAGUUAAUGAAGGAACCUAGUGGAAAAAGUGGCUAGAACAUGGUGAACUUGAGCUUGGAGUGUGGACGGCCAUGGAGUUUUCUCCCAAGGUUUGGUUCGGCUGGUUUUGCAAAGUGAGGUUGAAGAUGGGUUCUGCACCUCCCAAGUGUCCCUUUAGGUGUCCAAAUGCUGAAGUUAGUGGAGCACUAUUAAAAGUUUUAAUGGUUAUUUAUUUAGUUUCCAAUUUUUGCAAUUUGGCCACCACACUUUCACUAUUUACAUAAUGUAUCUUAUUUUAAUUUUUCAUGACAUUUUUCAAAGUGUAAUAUCAUUUAU